CCGCGUGAUCAAGAAGGCUCUAGAGUUGUAACGAUCUUUCACCGGUGACGAUAAUGACGGUAGCCGGAGAAGAAGCCCCGGCUAACUCCGUGCCAGCAGCCGCGGUAAUACAAAUC
rnacentral:rRNA from 1 species